GUGCUUUAGUGAUUAAAAGUCCCUCAUAUUUAACACAUCCAUCCAACUCACUUUGUCAGCUGUCUUCCUGGUUUUUUGCUGAUCAUUAACGGAUGCAAAUCCU